UAGUUAGCCGAUGCUUAUUCCUGAGGUACCGUCAAAAUUUCUUCCCUCAGAAAAGGAGUUUACGCCCCGAAAGGUGUCAUCCUCCACGCGGGAUUGCUCCGUCAGGCUUUCGCCCAUUGCGGAAAAUUCCUCA
rnacentral:rRNA from 1 species